UACGGAGGGUGCGAGCGUUGUCCGGAAUCAUUGGGCGUAAAGGGCGCGUAGGUGGCCCGGUCAGCGUGCGGUGAAAGCUCGGGGCUCAACCCCGAGUCGGCCGUGCGAACUGCUGGGCUCGAGCACUGUAGGGGCAGGCGGAAUUCCGGGUGUAGCGGUGGAAUGCGUAGAGAUCCGGAAGAACACCGGUGGCGAAGGCGGCCUGCUGGGCAGUGGCUGACACUGAGGCGCGACAGCGUGGGGAGCAAACAGG
rnacentral:rRNA from 1 species